GAUGAACGCUAGCGGCAGGCCUAACACAUGCAAGUCGAGGGGUAGAACACUUCGGUGUUUGAGACCGGCGCACGGGUGCGUAACGCGUAUGCAAUCUACCUUGUACAGGGGAAUAGCCCAGAGAAAUUUGGAUUAAUGCCCCAUAGUAUAUAACCUUCGCAUGUUGGUUAUAUUAAAGUUCCAACGGUACAAGAUGAGCAUGCGUCCCAUUAGUUAGUUGGUAAGGUAACGGCUUACCAAGACGAUGAUGGGUAGGGGUCCUGAGAGGGCGAUCCCCCACAGUGGUACUGAGACACGGACCAGACUCCUACGGGAGGCAGCAGUGAGGAAUAUUGGUCAAUGGGCGCAAGCCUGGACCAGCCAUGCCGGGUGCAGGAAGACGGUCCUAUGGAUUGUAAACUGCUUUUAUACAGGAAGAAACCCUCCCACGUGUGGGAGAUUGACGGUACUGUAGGAAUAAGGAUCGGCUAACUCCGUGCCAGCAGCCGCGGUAACAC
rnacentral:rRNA from 1 species